ACGAACGCUGGCGGCGUGCUUAACACAUGCAAGUGGAGCGACGAACCAGGCUUCGGCCUGGGGCAAAGCCGCGAACGGGUGAGUAUCACGUGGGUAACCUGCCCCGAUGACCGGGACAACUCGAGGAAACUCGGGCUAAUACCGGAUGUGCUCUCUGCACAUCAGUGCGAUGAGUAAAGGAAGCUUCGGCCUCCGCAUUGGGAUGGGCCCGCGGCCCAUUAGCUUGUUGGUGAGGUAAGAGCUCACCAAGGCGACGAUGGGUAGCUGGUCUGAGAGGACGAUCAGCCACACUGGGACUGAGACACGGCCCAGACUCCUACGGGAGGCAGCAGUGGGGAAUCUUGCGCAAUGCGCGAAAGCGUGACGCAGCAACGCCGCGUGAGGGAAGAAGGCCUUCGGGUUGUAAACCUCUUUCAGGAGGGACGAAGGUUCAGGCGCGAACAGCGACCUGGACUGACGGUACCUCCAGAAGAAGCCCCGGCUAACUACGUGCCAGCAGCCGCAGUAAAAC
rnacentral:rRNA from 1 species